ACAAUUUUCAAGGUACCAUACCCAUGUCAUUGGAAUCCUUAAGAGGUCUUAGAGAAUUUGAUCUUUCCAAGAAUAACGUGUCUGGCCAAAUUCCAUUGUAUUUAGGGAGAUUUGCCUUGGAAUAUUUGAAUUUAUCUUUCAACAAUUUUGAGGGUGAGGUUCCAACGGAAGGUGUUUUUGCGAAUGUGAGUUCAAUAUCACUUGAAGGUAACAAGAUGAUUUGUGGGGGCAUUCCAGAACUACGGCUGCCGAG
rnacentral:misc_RNA from 1 species